AUUGAACGCUGGCGGCAUGCUUUACACAUGCAAGUCGAGCGGCAGCGCGGGGGCAACCCUGGCGGCGAGCGGCGAACGGGUGAGUAAUGCAUCGGAACGUAUCCUCGAGUGGGGGAUAACCCAGCGAAAGUUGGGCUAAUACCGCAUGAGCUCUGAGGAGGAAAGCGGUGGACCUGCGAGGGCCUCGCGCUGGGGGAGCGGCCGAUGUCCGAUUAGCUAGUUGGUGGGGUAAAGGCUUACCAAGGCGACGAUCGGUAGCUGGUCUGAGAGGAUGAUCAGCCACACUGGGACUGAGACACGGCCCAGACUCCUACGGGAGGCAGCAGUGGGGAAUUUUGGACAAUGGGGGCAACCCUGAUCCAGCCAUGCCGCGUGAGUGAAGAAGGCCUUCGGGUUGUAAAGCUCUUUCGGACGGAACGAAAUGGGCGGGACUAAUACUCCUGUCUGAUGACGGUACCGUAAGAAGAAGCACCGGCUAACUACGUG
rnacentral:rRNA from 1 species